rnacentral:rRNA from 1 species
UGGGGAAUAUUGCACAAUGGGCGAAAGCCUGAUGCAGCAACGCCGCGUGAGGGACGACGGCCUUCGGGUUGUAAACCUCUUUUAGCAAGGAAGAAGCGAAACGUGACGGUACUUGCAGAAAAACGCGCCGGCUAACUACGUGCCAGCAGCCGCGGUAAUACGUAGGGCGCAAGCGUUAUCCGGAAUUAUUGGGCGUAAAGAGCUCGUAGGCGGUUUGUCGCGUCUGCUGUGAAAACCCGAGGCUCAACCUCGGGCCUGCAGUGGGUACGGGCAGACUAGAGUGCGGUAGGGGAGAUUGGAACUCCUGGUGUAGCGGUGGAAUGCGCAGAUAUCAGGAAGAACACCGAUGGCGAAGGCAGAUCUCUGGGCCGUAACUGACGCUGAGGAGCGAAACGGGU